UACGGGGGGGCAAGCGUUGUUCGGAAUUACUGGGCGUAAAGGGCGCGUAGGCGGCCUCUGCAAGUCGACUGUGAAAUCUCCGGGCUUAACCCGGAAAGGUCAGCCGAUACUGCAGGGCUAGAGUGCAGAAGGGGCAACUGGAAUUCUCGGUGUAGGCGGUGAAAUGCGUAGAUAUCGAAGAGGAACACCUGCGGCGAAGGCGGGUUGCUGGGCUGACACUGACGCUGAGGCGCGAAAGCUAGGGGAGCGAACGGG
rnacentral:rRNA from 1 species